UUUUGUGCUCUCUAUACUUCUG
rnacentral:siRNA from 1 species